GAUGAACGCUGGCGGCGUGCCUAAUACAUGCAAGUCGAGCGAACGGACGAGAAGCUUGCUUCUCUGAUGUUAGCGGCGGACGGGUGAGUAACACGUGGAUAACCUACCUAUAAGACUGGGAUAACUUCGGGAAACCGGAGCUAAUACCGGAUAAUAUUUUGAACCACAUGGUUCAAAAGUGAAAGACGGUCUUGCUGUCACUUAUAGAUGGAUCCGCGCUGCAUUAGCUAGUUGGUAAGGUAACGGCUUACCAAGGCAACGAUGCAUAGCCGACCUGAGAGGGUGAUCGGCCACACUGGAACUGAGACACGGUCCAGACUCCUACGGGAGGCAGCAGUAGGGAAUCUUCCGCAAUGGGCGAAAGCCUGACGGAGCAACGCCGCGUGAGUGAUGAAGGUCUUCGGAUCGUAAAACUCUGUUAUUAGGGAAGAACAUAUGUGUAAGUAACUGUGCACAUCUUGACGGUACCUAAACAGAAAGCCACGGCUAACUACGUG
rnacentral:rRNA from 1 species